ensembl:lincRNA
GAUCUCGUAAUUGCAUCAUCAGUGGGAAAGUAAGCUCUCUGAGGACCAGGUCUGACUGAGACAUCCCCACAGCGUAGUAGAUUAAUACAUUUUGUGUCUCAGCGUUGCCUGUGAAACGCCAUUUACUCACCAGGCAUGCUGAACGUGGAACCAGGUUUCUUUCUUUCCAAGUAGUUUUGCUAGUUUAGAGAAAGAGAGAGACAGACACAUAAAUACAUACAGAGAAAGAGAAAGUACUGAACCAGGAACAGCAGGGUUUGAGUCAAAAGAGAGGGGCAGAGGAGCGCGUCCCGUGCCCCAAGGCUGCCACACGGAGCGCCGGCGCGAGGUGCCGGUUCCGGGGCCGAGCGCACGCCCGGAAGGUGGGAGGUGGCCAGCAGCGCCCCCGCCUGGCCCCUGUGCGCCCCGACCCGACGCCUCCCCGCCCGACCAGGUGCCUCGAGAGCGCACCGCUGGGAGGGCUCUCCCGGGCUCGGCGACACUCACGCCCGCGGUGUGCUAGGGCGGCGGCGACGGUGACGGGCGUGGGGCGCGGCGCUGCCUCGGCUGCCGGAUCGUUGCAGCGAGCGCUCGGGCCGGCCUGGAGUCUCCGGGCUGAGCCGCCGCGCCUGCAUCGUGCGGCACGCCGCGGAGGCGCUCCGGGACAGACCGCGCGGGCGCGCACAAAGCGGCCCGGAGCGACCCGCGCUGCGCGGACCCUCUGUGGGCAGCGCACCCCAGUCUCCCCCGGCUAGCGGCUGCAGGGAGCUCCGGCCCGCGGCCCCUCCGCCUCAAGUCUGGGAGCUGCCGGCCCCACUCUGUCUUUGCCUAUGGGGAUCCGAGAGUUUCCCAGCGGCGCACCCAGGGGAAAGAGCAUCGCUGUUGGCAUGAGGAGGUCACCGGACGUCAGCCCCCGGAGACUGUCCGACAUCAGCCCCCAGCUCCGGCAGCUCAAGUACUUGGUGGUGGACGAGGCGAUUAAGGAGGAUCUGAAAUGGUCGCGCUCCGUGGAAGAUCUCACCAGCGGGCCCGUGGGGCUCACGUCCAUCGAGGAGCGGAUCCUGCGCAUCACUGGCUACUAUGGCUACCAGCCCUGGGCAGCGAGCUGCAAAAGUAAGACCCCCUCCAGUCAUUUUCCUCCUCCGCCGGUCUGUCUCGUUACCAUUGUCACAGCAGCCUCGGGGAGCGCAUGCAGCGAGGUGUCCAGCCACCCCGUCCCGCCCUGCCUGCUGAUACAGACCCAGGUUUGCAACUUUGAGGAAGAGGCCUGGAGACGGAGUUCUCCUGGACCUCUGAGGCUUUCUGAUGUGUUCUCUUACACUCCUUCUUCUCCCACACACAGGAUCUCUCUGUAUCCUUAUCCCUCCGCCUCCAAAUGUGGGGGACACUCUUAUGUGGCAGAUCAUAGGAAACAGAUCAGAAACUCAAAGUAUCCCGGACAGUGUAGCUUCCCCGUGGAUCAGAAAGUCUCACAGGGCCCUGGGUCAGGUCUCACCAGGCUCAGCUGGAGAUGCUGACUUAGGUAGCCAGGAUUGUAACUCUUCCUUGCAUCUCCUAGCCCAGAUGAUAGAGAACAAUUCUUGGGGUCUUCAUUUUAGAUGCUAUUCACGCCCUUUUCCCCUGGAUUUUAUCGGUCUUCGGUAAGGAGGUUCUAUAGGGAUCUCUCUAGUUAGUGGUGUUGGUCCAAGCAAGAUGAAUGUUUGGUGUCAGGUGGAGAAGCUGAAAUGGUUUUCUGCCAGUGGGUCCCAGCUAAUGACUUUGAGGAUGCUAUGAUCAAUUAGACAGACAUUAUCUUAUGUCACCAGGACUAAUUUGAUGUACA